rnacentral:rRNA from 1 species
CCUACGGGGGGCAGCAGUGGGGAAUAUUGGACAAUGGGCGAAAGCCUGAUCCAGCCAUGCCGCGUGUGUGAAGAAGGCCUUCGGGUUGUAAAGCACUUUCAGUGGGGAAGAAAGCCUUGGGGCUAAUACCCACGAGGAAGGACAUCACCCACAGAAGAAGCACCGGCUAACUCCGUGCCAGCAGCCGCGGUAAUACGGAGGGUGCGAGCGUUAAUCGGAAUUACUGGGCGUAAAGCGCGCGUAGGCGGUCUGAUAAGCCGGUUGUGAAAGCCCCGGGCUCAACCUGGGAACGGCAUCCGGAACUGUCAGGCUAGAGUGCAGGAGAGGAAGGUAGAAUUCCCGGUGUAGCGGUGAAAUGCGUAGAGAUCGGGAGGAAUACCAGUGGCGAAGGCGGCCUUCUGGACUGACACUGACGCUGAGGUGCGAAAGCGUGGGUAGCAAACAGGAUUAGAUACCCGAGUAGUC